GCGGCAAAAGCUCAAAUUUGAAAUCUGGCUCCGUUCCGGGGUCCGAGUUGUAAUUUGCAGAGGAUGCUUUGGGUGCACCCGCGGCGUAAGUCCCUUGGAACAGGGCGUCACAGAGGGUGAGAAUCCCGUCUUGAGUCGCUGGCGUGUGCCCGUGCAAAGCUCCUUCGACGAGUCGAGUUGUUUGGGAAUGCAGCUCUAAUUGGGUGGUAAAUUUCAUCUAAAGCUAAAUACUGGCCGGAGACCGAUAGCGAACAAGUAGAGUGAUCGAAAGGUUAAAAGCACCUUGAAAAGGGAGUUAAAUAGCACGUGAAAUUGUUGAAAGGGAAGCGCUUGCAGCCAGACUCGGGCGCGGAGGCUCAGCGGGCAUGUUUGCCCGUGUACUCCUUCGCGCCCGGGCCAGCAUCAGUUUUGGCGGCCGGUCAAAGGCCCCCGGGAUGUAUCGUCCUCCGGGACGUCUUAUAACCGGGGGUGCAAUGCGGCCAGCCGGGACUGAGGAA
rnacentral:misc_RNA from 1 species